AUUGAACGCUGGCGGCAGGCCUAACACAUGCAAGUCGAGCGAGCGGCGGACGGGUGAGUAAUGUAUGGGGACUGCCCGAUAGAGGGGGAUAACUACUGGAAACGGUAGCCAAUACCGCAUACUAUCGGAUAACCCAUAUGGGAUUAGCUAGUAGGUGAGGUAAUGGAUCACCUAGGCGACGAUCCCUAGCUGGUCUGAGAGGCUGAUACGCCACACUGGGACUGAGACAGGGCCCAGACUCUUACGGAGGCAGAGUUGGGGAAGAUUGCACAAUGGGCGAAAGCCGGAUGCAGCCCUGCCGGGUGGUUGAAGAAGGCCCGAGGGUUGUAAAGUAUUUUCAGUCGGGAGGCGUUACCAACAGAAGAAGCACCGGCUAACUCCGUGCCAGCAGCCGCGGUAAGUC
rnacentral:rRNA from 1 species